AUAUAUAUAUAUAUAUAUAUAUAUAUAUGUAUAUAUAUAUAUAUGUGUGUACUGAAAUUUUUGACUAAUGCUAGUUUAAUAGUAUAAUACAGAAUACUGUGUGUGACUUUUACCUGAGAAUGUAACUUAAGAAUGUAAAAAUAUAAAACAAAGCUUUGUAGACCUAUAGGCC